rnacentral:rRNA from 1 species
AUUGAACGCUGGCGGCAGGCCUAACACAUGCCAGUCGAGCGGAUGAAGGGAGCUUGCUCCUGGAUUCAGCGGCGGACGGGUGAGUAAUGCCUAGGAAUCUGCCCGGUAGUGGAGGAUAACGUCCGGAAACGGGCGCUAAUACCGCAUACGUCCUGAGGGAGAAAGUGGGGGAUCUUCGGACCUCACGCUAUCAGAUGAGCCUAGGUCGGAUUAGCUAGUUGGUGGGGUAAAGGCCUACCAAGGCGACGAUCCGUAACUGGUCUGAGAGGAUGAUCAGUCACACUGGAACUGAGACACGGUCCAGACUCCUACGGGAGGCAGCAGUGGGGAAUAUUGGACAAUGGGCGAAAGCCUGAUCCAGCCAUGCCGCGUGUGUGAAGAAGGUCUUCGGAUUGUAAAGCACUUUAAGUUGGGAGGAAGGGCAGUAAGUUAAUACCUUGCUGUUUUGACGUUACCAACAGAAUAAGCACCGGCUAACUUCGUG